UUCCUGUCCCGCUCCAUCUGCUCUGCUGAGAUUGAUGCAUCCAGGAGAAAUAGAAGUCUUGUGUGUCUGAUCAUGAGUGGUGUGAACGGCAACCCUCUGGGUGUUUUUAAAGGUUGGCGACCUGUCCACGGUGGACCCUGCCUUCUGUCUGAUGUCAGCUGGGAUUGGCUCCACCCCCCUCCUAACCCCUAACAGGAUAAGUGGUCAAGAUAAUGGAUGGAUGGACAACCGUUAGCAAUCUUGGCGUGCUGACCAGCUAGCUAGGUCGCAGAGGCAGCAGGCCAAGCAAGCUGACCCACACAUCCCUCUUCCCAGCGCCUCUACAGGCAUCCUGAAUUCUGGGUCUAUUCCGAGGUCUUCUUCCAGUUGGAGGCACCCAGAUUAAACACCCAAACCACCUCAGUUGUCACCUUUCAAUAUCAAGGAGUAAUGCCUCCACCUCCGGAUGUCUGAGGUCCUGAUCGUAUCUCCGAGGCUGAGCCGAGCCCCUCUUUCAGAGGCCACUAAAAUCUGCAAUCUCAUUCUUUUGGUCCCAGACUCUUCGCUGGACUAGAACCGCCAUGAACGUCAGGGGUGAGGGGUGAGGUCGCCGCCCAUGUAAAGCACAACGAGUAGCAGAGUAGAGUUGGCCCCUUCCUACCUCACUGACCUCCUCCACCACCAGGCCCCUUCCU